rnacentral:rRNA from 1 species
AGAGGUUCCUGGAAAUAGCCCCACUGUAAGAUCGUACCCUAAACCGACACAGGUGGACUGGUAGAGAAUACCAAGGCGCUUGAGAGAACUAUGCUGAAGGAACUCGGCAAAUUGCCUCCGUACCUUCGGAAGAAGGAGGCCCUGGAUCGACGCAAGUCUUUUCAGGGGGCACAGGCCAGGGGGUAGCGACUGUUUACUAAAAACACAGGGCUCUGCGAAGCCGUCCAGGCGACGUAUAGGGUCUGACGCCUGCCCGGUGCCGGAAGGUUAAAAGGAGGGGU